rnacentral:lncRNA from 1 species
AAUUCUGCCAUUUUUUAUCAGUGACUUUAUCACAAGAAGUCAUAUAUCUGCUAUAGACAUCUUUUCCUUGUUUAUAAAAUGAGAAGGUUGGGCUGCUAAAGUACCUUCUAGCUCUAGAUCUGUGAUAAAGUAAUUCACUCCAAGAAGGUUCACAUGGAAAACAAAACAAAACAAAACAAAACACUGAACUUGGAAUCAGAAUGCCCAAGUUCUAUAUUCAACUAUGAUGUUAGUGAUUAGAGGAAGUACCUUCAUCUUUUCUAGAGCUGAGCAUCCUCAUCUAUAAAAAGAGAAUGAAAAUAUCUGCUCAGCUUACUAGUAUAGAGUUGUUAUGUAGACUGAAUGAGAUGAUUUCUGGAUCUGUGAUUUUGUAGGUGUGUAGAUAUCUCUUCCUCCCUCAAUGCUAAAGAGCAGCUACUCUUCAACUGACAGUUUUAGAAAGUUUCUUCAGGGCUGGAAGAGGUUAAGUCAAUCAAAAGGCAAAGAAACAAAGUGAAAGAGAGAAACAGAGAUAGAGAUAAACUGAGACUGAGACAGAGAGCUGUACAUGUUUAAGAGCAGAAUGGAAGGAGACAUUGAAGAGAAAAUCAUUGAAGAUGCUAAAGGAGAAAUUUUGAGACACAGACAGAAACAGAGAGCAUAAAUGGACACGGACAAGCCAGCUUUGGAGAAGAGGAACCCAACUUCUCUCAGACUAUAGAGAAGGAAGAAAAGUUAGGUUAAAAGAAAUUGGUAUUUGGAGGAGGAGAGUGCUUACUGUUCAUCAGUUCUUGUGGGAUGGCAUCAUUGUCUUUUUCUAGUAGGAAUAAAGUCAUUUGCCAAGAGUGA